UCGAUAUGAUGGCACUACAAGC
rnacentral:piRNA from 1 species